UACGUAGGGUGCGAGCGUUAAUCGGAAUUACUGGGCGUAAAGCGUGCGUAGGUGGUUCGUUGUGUCUGUGGUGAAAGCCCCGGGCUUAACCUGGGAAUGGCCAUGGAAACUGGCGAGCUGGAGUGUGGCAGAGGGGGGUGGAAUUCCGCGUGUAGCAGUGAAAUGCGUAGAGAUGCGGAGGAACACCGAUGGCGAAGGCAGCCCCCUGGGCUAACACUGACGCUGAGGCACGAAAGCGUGGGGAGCGAACAGG
rnacentral:rRNA from 1 species